rnacentral:rRNA from 1 species
GACGAACGCUGGCGGCGUGCUUAACACAUGCAAGUCGAACGGAAAGGCCCUGCUUUUGUGGGGUGCUCGAGUGGCGAACGGGUGAGUAACACGUGAGUAACCUGCCCUUGACUUUGGGAUAACUUCAGGAAACUGGGGCUAAUACCGGAUAGGAGCUCCUGCUGCAUGGUGGGGGUUGGAAAGUUUCGGCGGUUGGGGAUGGACUCGCGGCUUAUCAGCAUGUUGGUGGGGUAGUGGCUUACCAAGGCUUUGACGGGUAGCCGGCCUGAGAGGGUGACCGGCCACAUUGGGACUGAGAUACGGCCCAGACUCCUACGGGAGACAGCAGUGGGGAAUAUUGCACAAUGGGCGGAAGACUGAUGCAGCAACGCCGCGUGCGGGAUGACGGCCUUCGGGUUGUAACCCGCUUUCGCCUGUGACGAAGCGUGAGUGACGGUAAUGGGUAAAGAAGCACCGGCUAACUACGUG